UUCAAACUUUAUGACAGGUCUAAUCGCUUCCACCUGUGUCUCGAGCUUGACUCUUGACUGGCAUGCUACCAGCCAGGGUGGAAAUGUAGACAAAGACCCCUAUUAGGAUCCGGCUGUUUCUCUCCUGUGCGGUCACUCAGCCAUUAAAUUAGUUCCAGCCCAGUUUCUGUCCUCUCAGGCCUCCGCUUGUGGGGAGGAGGGUGCGCAGUAGAACAAGUCAGGGGAGCAGAGGCGGAAGAGAAGAAAGCCGGAAAGAGAAGUUAGGGGCUGACUGGACACGUCUGUGAAAGGCGAAAGGAGACGUUGGGGCCUGACGGGACACGUAUGUGAAAAGCGGAAGGAGAUGCUAGUGGCAGACACGUCUGAGAAAGGCGGAAGGAGAUGUUAGGGCCUGACGGGACACGUAUGUGAAAGGCGAAAGGAGACCUCAGGGCCUGACGGGACACGUAUGUGAAAAGCGGAAGGAGAUGCUAGUGGCGAAAGGAACACGUCUGAGAAAGGUGGAAGGAGACGUUAGGCGCUGACUGGACACGUAUGCAGCGAGUCCAUGCAACAGAAGAAAUAAGAAGGAAAACUUGAAAUAAGACUGAAUUUCCAACAUCCCAAUGGGAUUACAGAGUGCUUUAAAAAUGCAUUGGAUAGCAACAUACCAAAACAGGUUUUGUUGGUAGAUCUCGAAAUUGAAGUUUUCUGAUGAGAAGGACUCCAUGUCAGUCACCACAGCCACUGCAUAAGAGGAUCCCGGAUUUCCUGUGCCAUAAAGAAAGAAGUGGGAAGGUCGUAAUUUGGCAUUACGUUAGAUGAUGGUAGCUUUCCCUUAAAAUGCCACUCUGGUAAGAGAAGUGCUUCCUAAUUCAUGACCAAUAAAAGCUGGGUUAACAUAUUCUGAACAUAAAAACUGUCAUACAAUAGACAAUGAGUACGCUUAAGUAUGGGCUUCCUGGUGGCUCAGUGGGA